GCGGAGGGUGGGGCCCCAACGGCCGUCCGGCGGGGGCGGGGCCUGUCAUGGCGGCCUCGAGAGUCAAUUCCAGGAACCCUGAGGAUGAACUGACCCUUUUAUUCACUAUUCCACAUCGAGCUGCAAACCCAUCAGAUGGAACCACGUGAUCAUUGUGGCCGCCAGCUGACCCCACAGCCACCUUGUGCCUCCCUUGGACCCACCCAGGAAUUUCUGAGCCUUCUUUAUGAUGCAUUUUAAAAAGAUGGCAGAGAUGAGGGUUCCUGAGAAGACCAGAAAGGACGUUUGCAUCUCAAAGAUACAGGCA